AACGAACGCUGGCGGCAGGCUUAACACAUGCAAGUCGAACGCCCCGCAAGGGGAGUGGCAGACGGGUGAGUAACGCGUGGGAAUCUACCUAGUUCUACGGAACAACAGAGGGAAACUUCUGCUAAUACCGUAUACGCCCUAAGGGGGAAAGAUUUAUCGGAAUUAGAUGAGCCCGCGUAAGAUUAGCUAGUUAGUGGGGUAAUGGCCUACCAAGGCGACGAUCUUUAGCUGGUCUGAGAGGAUGAUCAGCCACACUGGGACUGAGACACGGCCCAGACUCCUACGGGAGGCAGCAGUGGGGAAUAUUGGACAAUGGGCGCAAGCCUGAUCCAGCCAUGCCGCGUGAGUGAUGAAGGCCUUAGGGUUGUAAAGCUCUUUCAGUGGGGACGAUAAUGACGGUACCCACAGAAGAAGCCCCGGCUAACUUCGUGCCAGCCGCCGCGGUAACAC
rnacentral:rRNA from 1 species